GACGAACGCUGGCGGCGUGCUUAACACAUGCAAGUCGAACGGAAAGGCCUGCUUUCCCUUGUGGAUUGCGGGUACUCGAGUGGCGAACGGGUGAGUAACACGUGAGUGAUCUGCCCCCAACUUGGGUAUAAGCCUGGGAAACUGGGUCUAAUUCCCGAUAGGACUGCAGGGUGGUGCCUGUGGUGGAAAACGAUUUUCUAGUGGUUGGGGAUGAGCUCGCGGCCUAUCAGCUUGUUGGUGGGGUAAUGGCCUACCAAGGCGGCGACGGGUAGCCGGCCUGGGGGGGUCGACGGGCGCGUUGGAACUGCGAUACGGCCAAGACUCCUACGGGAGGCAGCAGUGGGGAGUAAUGCGCGAUGGGCGGAAGCCUGAUGGCGGAACGCCGAGUGGGGGAUGACGGGCUUCGGGUUGUGGACUCCUUUCGACCGCGAGGAAGCCACCUGGUUGGAAGGGUGGUGACGGUAGUGGUAGAAGAAGCACCGGCUAACUACGUG
rnacentral:rRNA from 1 species